AAAGCAGGUGAGUCCCGUUAAUCCUCUGCUUUUCCCUGUUGCUGUGGAAGGCCGUGCCUGCCUGAGGUUAUUGCCCUCGGUUCGGGCCUCAGCGGAGCUGUGGGUGUUGCAGUCAUUCCCUCACUGGGAGGUGCCGGUGCUGCUGAGCCUUGCUGCUCUCCCUGAGAGCAAGCCUCUGUUCCUGGCUCUGUGUGAGUGAGUGAGGAGGAGGGGGGCCCGCAGGAACGGACCAAACUAAUUUCUUGGGAAGGAGGCAGGAGCAGCCCUGUCUUCUCUGUGCAGCAUUGGAGCCACUUUCAGUUCUGCUGUGAGACAGCUCUGAGGGCCAGGCUGACCUGCAGCUGCUGCCACGCCAGUGGUCUCUGGCCAGGCUUGAGGACAGCAGAUGCAGUCUGUCAGGUAGGGAAAAAACCCCAAAUCUGACCAUUGCCACAAGCAGUCCUACAGCACCACGCUGACAGCACGAGGGUCAGCUCAGCUCUCUGUCCUGGCUGGGAGCAACAGGGUCCAACAGGACCAGACAGCUUACAAGAGAAAUGAGCAAAACUGACCACAGAAAGAGGGUCAGCAGGCAGCUGGUUUGCAUGGAGGCAAACUCCUAACAAAGUAACAAGCGGUGGGGAGCCAUUUGUUCAUUGUCAUUUCUUGGACAAUUUUGGAAGAUGAGGACAGUUUUUCCCGGCCUAAGGCAAAACGUCUCUGAAAAACUGAAAGGUUGCUGUGCUCUAGGACAGAAGAGUUAAGAGAUUGCCCCACCCACAACUGGGACUGACUUUGGGAAGCAAACCUUGUCUGUGACACUGACUCAUUGUGUGAGUCUCACUGCUUCUUUGUAGUUGACAGCUGGGAAAAAUGGAGAAAAAGAAGAGAGAAAUACCUGAACUCUGAGUGUGGGGUACACCAGGUGUGUUCACCGGUGUGGGUUGGGGUGAUUCCACAGGCAAAGGUUCCCCUGCAGCUGGGCUGAAGGUGGGAACACAUGAGCUCUGCUGGACUACGAGGUCACGUUAUGAGAAAUAACGCUCAAGUUGGUGUGGCACAUGGGCAUGACUGUAAAGUAACUCAGCAGUAUCUGAGCUGGAGCUGCUGUUGGAGAACCUUCUCCAAAGGAAAAUGUCCAAUGUGGUUCUGUAAGACCUGUACCUAUGAACUGGGAAACAACCAAUUGGGAAACAACCCUGAAGGGGCUGGAGAUAUCACAGAGCUGUGUGUGAUGGUCAAAGGCAACAAGCCCCUGCACAGGGAGUGUGGGAAAAUGCCUAUGGCAAUGGGGAGAUUGAUCCCUCCGUACAGAGAGAGACCAUGGCCGUGCCCAGCUCCCUGUCCAUAAUCCAUGGAACUAUAGAGGCCUGGAAAACCCAAGGAGAUGAUUUACGAUCGUGGUGCUCAGCACACUCAGGGGAAGGCUGAGAGGAGGCUGUGUGGGAGCCAGAGCAGCUGGGUUUUUGUAACUUUUUCUUUGCAGACCAGCACAAUUGUCCAGGGGAAGUGCAAGCCCGGGAUAGUGGCUGUUGAUCUCACAGACUUGCUUUGUUUAAUUAUAUUUUGCAGACUGUUUAAUAGGGGCCUGGAGACCCAAAGAACCACCAAGAGCCAGAGGCUGACAACCACCAAAUAUCUCUGUAGGAAGAAGGCAUGUAAAACUUCAGUUUAUUUAAUGGAGCUGAAAAAUGCUCAAAAUAGUAUUUCAUGUGCAUAAUUGGGCAUUGAAGUGACAGACUGUGAGCUCUGGUAAACUUUGCUGUCAUCUGAAGCUCUUUGGUUGGUCAACUCACUUUUGAACCUGGGCAGGUCUUCCUGCUGCUGCCAUUGGUGUUCCAUAUGCUGUGAGGGGUCUGGAGACCUUCAAAAUGUCUGUGCUUUUGACCAGAGACUUCUAAUGCAGGUUUUUGUGUUAAAGCCUUUCACAUAUGGUGUCUCCCAUAGUCCUUCUAAAUAAAAAAUCUCAGCAAGCAGCAGGUGAAACCUU